GGGGCAGCGGGGCUGGGCUCCGGCCGGGAGUCAGACGAGGGAGCGCGCGCGCGCUCCCGGACAGUUCUCCGCAGCCGCUCGCCCGAGCCUUCUACUUGGCCAACACAGCUGCCUCUACCACCUCGCGUGCCCGGUUCGUGGGCUUUCAGUUACCAAGCAUGUCCUGAAGAUGAAGAUACUCUCAGCCUAACGUCUCCAAGCAAAUAUUGAUUCAGCAGUAUCCCCAGGCAAAGCCACACCAUAUAUCAGUGAACAGAGAAACAACUGCCCUUCUCCGGGCCCCUGUCUGAGAAGCUGGAGCAUCAGCCCUGGAGCUCUCUGGAGCAGUUUCCUUGCUCACUGCCCCCAGCUGAACACAGGACCAGAGGGGAUACUGCCUGCUCAGGAAAGCCAAGAGGAGCCUGCCUCUACUGAAAUAUAAAAAGUACACUGUGCAUAUGGAAAGCAUUAUUGUGUUUCACUGUGCAUCGCCAGAUUCUUCUUGCAAAACAUUGAAGCUUAGCUCAUAAUUUGGUGAUAAAAUAUUGAUUAUUUAUCCACAGCCGCAUGCAGAGGUCCAAAGCACGUAAACAGGAUACCCACCCUGCAUUAUCUUAUAUUUUAAGUCAAUAUGAAGAUGGACAUUCUACCCGAGACCAAUUUCGAUCAAAUACUUUUGUCAAUAAAAAGAUACUAAUGUC
rnacentral:lncRNA from 1 species